rnacentral:rRNA from 1 species
UACAGAGGGUGCAAGCGUUGUUCGGAAUUAUUGGGCGUAAAGGGCGCGUAGGCGGUGCCACAAGUCACCUGUGAAAUCUCCGGGCUUAACUCGGAGCCUGCAGGCGAAACUGUGGUGCUGGAGUGUGGGAGAGGUGCGUGGAAUUCCCGGUGUAGCGGUGAAAUGCGUAGAUAUCUGGAGGAACACCGGUGGCGAAGGCGGCUUACUGGGCUGUAACUGACGCUGAUGCACGAAAGUGUGGGGAUCAAACAGG